UUCGCCACUGUCGAGAACAGUUCGUGGUGCGCUGCGUUCGCCUUGUUCGUAUUCAAGCGUACAGCGGGUCAGAAAGAGAGAGAGAGAGGGGGAAAAAAACGAGUCUAAUCGUAUAUACAUAUAUAAUUUGGCGUGAUGACGUCAGAGUUUCCGAGGUGGAGAAGCCGAGAGAACCGUGAGCGGCGUGAGCGCGUUUAAAGCCGAGCAGGGCGUGAAAGUGUGUAUCGUGCCACGGAUUCUAUAUGUUUGUGAUCCCUUGUGCUCCGCGAUUUUGGCCAAAGUGACGAGGAAACAAGCCCCCUGCAAUUCUGGAUAAUAGAACGACCGAAACAAUCAAUUAUUUGUGCAAUAAUAUAAAGGAACGAAGAAAAAGGCACAGCCUAAGAAAAGAAAGAAAGAAAUAACAAAAUGAUUAUAUUGAAAUAACGCUCGGAGCUGUCUUAGAGUAAAUAACAAGAGCGUGAGAGAUCGCAUUAUGCCUUGGUGCUGAGAGUGUUGGUGCGCGAGUGUGUGCGUACCGCGUGUUGUGCCGUGUGUGUGUGCGUGCGUGCGUGUGUGUGUGUGUGUGUGCGUGCGUGCGUGCGUGCGCGCGGGUUAGAAAACUCGUGGCUUUUUUUGUUCGUUUUACGUCGUUUUUCGAUAAAAUACAAGGAGGUGUACAAUGUUUCGCUGCAUUCCGAUUUUUAAAGGGUGUAACAGGCAGGUUGAGUCGGUUGACAAGCGUCACUGCUCGUUACCGAGCGUACCCGACGACAUACUACGUUACUCACGUAGCCUCGAGGAACUUUUACUCGACGCCAAUCACAUCAGAGAUCUACCCAAGAAUUUCUUCAGACUUCAGAGGCUCAGAAAACUCGGUCUCAGUGACAAUGAGAUUCACCGGCUGCCUCCCGACAUUCAAAAUUUCGAGAACCUCGUGGAGCUCGACGUUUCGCGGAACGACAUACCGGACAUUCCUGAGAAUAUCAGGAACUUGAGCUCUCUACAGGUGGCAGACUUCAGCAGUAACCCGAUACCAAGGCUUCCGGCUGGUUUCGUGCAACUGAGAAACCUAACUGUACUCGGCCUCAAUGACAUGUCCCUCACGAACUUGCCACCAGAUUUUGGCCGUUUGGAAGCCCUUCAGUCGCUGGAAUUGAGGGAAAAUUUGCUCAAAUCCUUGCCCGAAUCACUCUCUCAGCUCUCGAAACUCGAGAGGCUGGAUCUUGGUGACAACGAGAUCGAGGAAUUGCCGUCGCACAUAGGAAAAUUACCCGCACUACAGGAAUUGUGGCUCGACCACAAUCAAUUGCAACACUUGCCACCAGAAAUCGGUGAAUUGAAGACCUUGGCGUGCCUGGACGUUUCGGAGAACCGCUUAGAGGAUUUGCCGGAUGAGAUCGGUGGUCUCGAGUCGUUGACAGAUUUGCAUCUGUCGCAAAACGUCAUUGAAAAAUUGCCUGAUGGCCUUGGCGAGCUCGGGAAAUUAACGAUACUUAAAGUCGAUCAAAAUCGAUUGUCCGUCCUGAACGAGAGCAUUGGCAAAUGCGAAAGUCUUCAAGAGCUCAUUCUUACGGAAAAUUUCCUCUUCGAGCUACCGGUCUCCAUAGGGAAUCUUGUCAACUUGAAUAAUCUUAACGUCGAUCGCAAUAGCCUGCAAUCGCUUCCCACAGAAAUCGGAAACUUGAAGAACUUGGGGGUACUUUCGCUUAGGGAUAACAAAUUGCAAUUUUUACCUACCGAAGUUGGCAACUGUACGGCCCUCCACGUUUUGGAUGUUUCUGGAAACAGGUUGCAGUACUUGCCGUAUUCGCUGAUAAGUUUAAACCUCAAAGCUGUGUGGCUGAGCGAGAAUCAAGCGCAGCCAAUGCUGACGUUCCAGACCGAUGUUGACGAGGAAACCGGUCAAGAGGUUCUCACGUGUUUCUUAUUGCCACAGUUGGAGUAUCACGUAGCUAAUCAGAACGGAUGUCGUAUCGAAAUACGAAGCGCUGCACAGGCGAACGAGAUGAGAGAAUUAGCGAGCAGCGACGACGAAGGAUGGCAAGAAAAAGAAGCCUCGAGAACGCAUUCCGUUAAAUUUACGGACGAUGCGCCGGAAGCCGACAAGGAGACUCCAUUCGUCAGACAAAAUACGCCACAUCCGAAAGAACUCAAAGCUAAGGCACACAAGUUAUUCAGUAAGGGAAAGAACGACAGUCGAUCGGGAUCAACCGACGAACAGGACGUGUCGCAAACAUUUGGUCUCGAUAAGACCGAGACAAUGAAUGCGACGACGAACGAGGAGCACACGGAACAGGAGCAUAUUCCUACGUGUAAUGACGAGGAGACGAGAGAAAUGACGAAAGUUUCAGAGUCCGAAGGGCCGUUUGAAACUUCCAUGGCUCAUGAGACGCUUGAAAACGAUGACGUUACGACGCAGCAACAACCGUCGGGACCAAACUCAACGACGACAGAUAACGAUUUCGAGGGUUCGGUGUCGGAAACGAGGUGUAGGGAUGAGGAUGAGUCUGAGUCUGAGGACAUGCAGAGACAUGUCGAAUUUACGAUAUUGGAAGACGCCGAUUACGAGGGUGGGGGUGACUCGGGCAAGCCAAACAGGCUACAUCGCCGGGACACCCCGCACCAUCUGAAAAACAAGCGAAUUCAUACCUCGAUUGACAAGGAUAAAGUUGCUUCGAUCAUCGCACAGGCUCUAAUGAAGAAAAGCGACGACCAACCUGUCUCUCUGACCCCGACGACAGAAUCCGUGGAACAAUGUGAGCUCAAUAGCCAAGGGGCAACCUCGGACGUAGAACCGUCGAUAGAAGUACGGGAAGAGCAGUACGAAAUCCAUAUCGAAAGGACGACCGGAGGCUUGGGUCUGUCUAUUGCUGGUGGCAUCGGAUCAACACCCUUCAAGGGCGACGACGAAGGCAUCUUUAUUUCUAGAGUCACAGAAGGUGGACCCGCAGAUUUGGCUGGUUUGAGGGUCGGCGACAAAGUUAUCUCAGUUAACGGUGUCUCGGUAGUCGACGUCGAUCAUUAUGACGCAGUUGAAGUUCUCAAAGCAUGCGGUCGUGUGCUUAUACUCGUUAUCGUCCGCGAAGUUACGAGAAUAGUGCCACCGUCCGAACAAAUGUCUAUUAGAAAGGAUUCAAUAUGUUCGAGUAUGAGCACGAGUCGAGCUCCCAGUGCUACGUCAUAUGUUUCCUCAACCGCAAUGUCUCACAAUCUCGAAAACGGUGACAGCAGCUUAACUCACGAUAUUGUCAAAACACGAAAAAUUCCUGAGCCCAUCGCCGUUGCGAGAACAAGCGGCGAACCUCUGAUACCGGUUCUCGUACACACGACGCUUAUUCGCGAUCAAAAUGGUCUAGGAUUCAGUAUAGCAGGCGGAAAGGGGUCAUCGCCUUUCAAAGACAAUACGGACGCAAUAUUCAUCUCGAGAAUUACGGACGGUGGAGUAGCGCAGAAAGAUGGCAAAUUGUUGGUCGGUGACAAAGUCAUAUCGAUAAACGGUGUCGAGAUGACGGGCGCGAAGCACGAGCAGGCUGUGGGAAUGUUGACGGGAUUGGAAAGGUUCGUUCGAUUGGUUGUCGAACGGGAGAUACCAAUUUCACAGGCGAAUCCCGCGACGAGUGUGACGCCUUCAGAAAAAUCGCCACGUUUGAUCGGUGGUGCUCCGCGUCCUUACACGGGGCUUUACAGCGCCAAUAGUUAUAUGGCGAACAGGCCAGGUUUGGCGAGUUACAGACGCUCGAUAGACGCCGACAAGACACUUUCUCCGAGCCCAACGUCGAGUACACCGCCGCCUCCCCCGCCGCCAGUUCCGCCACCUCAAUUGUCCUCCAAACCCGAGGCGAUCAAUGGAAUCGCAAAGAUGAACGGCGUGACGGAAAGAUCCGGUCCUACCGGAGCCACGAGCCCCUCGAACUUGACAUCUCCCAGCUCCAACCAACCGCAACCAGCGCCAAGAUUAUCCAUGACGCAGCCUGCUACAGGAUCCGGUCAUCCCGUCGGUGACUCGACGAACAGCGGACGUUCCGAGAGUGGUGAACAAAGAUCGAAUUCGCCGCAGGAAGAUAUACAGGUACCCAAGCCAAUAACCAACGAGGAAUUUCAGGCCAUGAUCCCCGCUCAUUUCCUACGACCUCCGAAAUCCUCGCCCUCCCCAGACUCCCAACAGGGCCCGGUCGUCACGGUCACGAUUAAGCAACCUGACAAUCUACCCGGGGACGUUACGUUUCCCCCGGCGCCUACGACAAUCGGUAAAGUUACCGAGGUCAUCACUAAGAGCACGCUCACCGAGACUGUUGUAACGCGUGUUACUGACAAUCAUCUUGUGGAACCUGUUAUUACCGAGGAUGUCGUGCUAAUGAAGGAAGGCUCAUUGGGCUUCAGUAUCAUUGGUGGAACCGAUCACUCUUGUACUCCCUUCGGCGCCAAGGAGCCUGGGAUUUUCAUAUCACACGUGGUACCCGGUGGCAUAGCAGCUAAUUCAGGAAAACUACGAAUGGGCGAUAGAAUAUUGAAAGUUAAUGGAACAGACGUGACAAAAGCAACUCACCAAGAAGCGGUCAUGGAACUCUUACGUCCUGGAGAAUCGAUCAUUCUCACGGUUCAGCACGAUCCACUGCCGGAAAGUUAUCAGCUGGUCGAAAUAGAGUACAUCCCGGUGACAGAACUCGUCAUUGUGAAGGAACCCGGUGAGAAAUUGGGUAUGCACAUCAAGGGCGGUUUGAGAGGACAACGUGGCAAUCCUCUCGAUCACACGGACGAGGGUGUAUUUAUAUCGAAAAUCAAUUCGGGUGGUGCAGCCAGACGUGACGGCAGACUUAAGGUUGGUAUGAGAUUGCUGGAAGUAAAUGGCACGUCGUUGCUCGGUGCAACCCAUCAGGAAGCGGUGAAUAUUCUCAGAUGUUCCGGGAACACGAUAACCCUCGUGGUUUGUAAAGGAUACGAUAAGAACGAGAUCGAACAUAUAAUGACAAUGUCGAGUGGUCGGGACUCGAAAAAUUCGAAAACCUCUCAGGAGCGCAAAGACUCACUGACCGAGGGCCUCAAAUCGUUAUCCCAAAGUGUCUCGAGCCUCGAUCGGGAUGAUGAGGAAGCGGCAACUUUGCGACAAGAGCAAGAAAUGAAGGCCGAACUCGUUGCUUGGGAACAAGAGGAACGCGAACGCGCUCUCGUCGAACAGCGAGAGAAAUCCACUCCGGAAAAGGUAUUGGAUGUAGUUCGAGCAGCAGAGUCGCUAGUAAAUAAACCGAAUAGCCCGGUUGAUAUGCCAGUGCCGCCUAAAUCACCUGGUGGCACAAAAGAUCUUAAAACAACGACAAUCGUCAUGAGUAAACACACUCUGGCACCGCAAAAUCCAACUCCAAUGUUACCGAAAGAGGAUACCGGAACAUCCGUGGAUGAUCCCUCUUCGCCGAUCACUCCGAACACUGCUACUUCUCUGCAUUCUAACGCGACGACUACGAAUCUCGAUAAAUCCUCAAUGUCACAAACUCUACCGUCGUCGAAGAAAAAGGUUUCGAGCGUUCCAAAGCGUAGCAUUACAUUUGCCGAAUUGCCAAAACCCUCGAGAUCAACUUCCACCGAUGCAUUAGCAUCUGGCAACAUAAAAUUCCGUCCGACACACUCGAUCAUGAAAGAACGUCCAAUAACCAUGCAUGAAAGAGCCAAUUUUUAUUCCUCCUCAAAUCUUUACGACAAAAACUAUAAUGUCGAGAAUGCUAAAAUAACAGAACCACGUUUUCGACUUCCUCCAACACCCCUGACAAAUCCUGGGUGCACGGGAGAAAAACUUCGUACCACAAUGGCUUCCUCUAACAAACGACAGAUUGCACGUUCUGUCGAAGGAAAGUUUCUGGUUGAGCCUUCACCGACACCAUCACCAACACCAGCGCCUGUCAAGAUGUCAGUCAGCGAUAGAAAAAAACUUUUCGAAAAUGCCGUCGAAGAGCAUCUUAAACCUUCGCCAAAACCAGACAAAGUAUUCAGUUUCCUUAGCCAAGACGAAGUUGAGAAAAUGAAACAAGAAGAAGAGAAAAAAAUAGCCACUUUAACGAGAGACGAGUUGAAGUCUUGGGCUCAGAUCGACGAGAUGGAGGGGCUCGACGAGUCCGAGGACGCGUUGGAAGAUCAGGAUAAUAGAAGGCCUAAUAGCCGAUUGAGCUCGCGAAGUUCGAUACCCUCUCUGCAGGGCGUGCCCAGUGUCGUCAGGACGGCCAAAGCGGAACGACGUCUCAAAGAGAGAAUGAUCCAAGAGGGCCUGAUCUCCGACGACGAUGAAGAAAGUCAUUUGAGUCCUGCGGAGCAGAGGGCGUUACGGGCCGAAAAAAGAGCUGCAUGGAGGCAAGCGCGCUUGAAGUCUCUGGAGCAGGAUGCGCUCCAGGCACAGAUCGUUAUUAAGAAAAUGAGCGAAAUGAUGGACACGUCGAAUAAGUCCGAAGUAAUUCAAGAUCCAUCGGAAUUGGAUCGCUCGUCCGAUCACGAUCGACCGAACGAGUUCACUGCGUUACGGCCGUCUAGCGCGGAUUUUCCAAAACUUGCCGUUCGGAGCAAGCUCGGACCGUCAAAAGCGGUUCGCGAAUCGGAAAAAGUAGUGGACGAGAAGGUAACUCGACGCACUGAGGAAUAUGUCGACGAGGUGACCGGGGAACGUCGUGUACGAACUGUCGAAUACGUCGAGAAGCUCAUUGAGCGGGAGAUUCCGACAAUUUUGCCUGGAAUGCAAACUACACUGCCUUGAGUCCGCUAAUAUAUCCACUGUCUGUACUGUCAAAUCUUCUCUUCCAAUGUGGGUUGAAACUCUGCGAGAGAAGAUAAUUUCUCUCGAGCUGAGCAAUGCGGAGGAAGAAGUGGAUGGCGUUAAAGUUGAAAUGGGUGCGAGCGACGCUGAGAGCGAAAGCGAGGAAUUGACCCGUCAAGACUCCA
rnacentral:misc_RNA from 1 species